rnacentral:rRNA from 1 species
UACGGAGGGUGCGAGCGUUGUCCGGAAUCACGGGGCGUAAAGGGCGCGUAGGUGGCGCGAGUAGUCAACGGUGAAAGCCCGGGGCUCAACCCCGGGUCGGCCGUCGAUACUCUCGUGCUUGAGCACUGUAGAGGCAGGUGGAAUUCCGGGUGUAGCGGUGGAAUGCGUAGAGAUCCGGAAGAACACCGGUGGCGAAGGCGGCCUGCUGGGCAGUAGCUGACACUGAGGCGCGCCAGCGUGGGGAGCAAACAGG